UACGUAGGGCGCAAGCGUUAUCCGGAAUUAUUGGGCGUAAAGAGCUCGUAGGCGGUUCAGUAAGUCGGGUGUGAAAUCCCUCGGCUCAACCAAGGAAGUGCAUCCAAAACUGCUGAGCUUGAGUACUUAAGAGGAUCGCGGAAUUCCCGGUGUAGAGGUGAAAUUCGUAGAUAUCGGGAGGAACACCAGUGGCGAAGGCGGCGAUCUGGGAAGAUACUGACGCUGAGGUGCGAAAGCGUGGGGAGCAAACAGG
rnacentral:rRNA from 1 species